AUGCACCAUGCUGCUCCCUUGGAAGACCGGCUGAGUGACGCAGCGGCGAAGGCAGUGAACGAGCGGCUGUCGUCGGGUGCCGCCAGCAACCUGAGCAGCCUCUACUCCUGGGCCGACAAGGUCAGGUUCAGGGGACUGCAAGGACGAGGAGGGCAUCAAGGUCCACUGCAUCGCUGGUGCCAUCAACAACUACGCCUCCCAGCUCCUCACCUAGGGAUCAUCAUCGCCAUCACCAUCUUCUAA
rnacentral:rRNA from 1 species